UGCAGUCGAACGGAAAGCGCUCUUCGGAGUGACUCGAGUGGCGAACGGGUGAGUAACACGUGGGUGAUCUGCCCUGCACUUUGGGAUAAGCCUGGGAAACUGGGUCUAAUACCGAAUACACCUCGCUGGCUGCAUGGUCUGGUGGGGGAAAGCUUUUGCGGUGUGGGAUGGGCCCGCGGCCUAUCAGCUUGUUGGUGGGGUGAUGGCCUACCAAGGCGACGACGGGUAGCCGGCCUGAGAGGGUGUCCGGCCACACUGGGACUGAGAUACGGCCCAGACUCCUACGGGAGGCAGCAGUGGGGAAUAUUGCACAAUGGGCGCAAGCCUGAUGCAGCGACGCCGCGUGAGGGAUGACGGCCUUCGGGUUGUAAACCUCUUUCAGCAGGGACGAAGCGCAAGUGACGGUACCUGUAGAAGAAGGACCGGCCAACUACGUGCCAGCAGCCGCGGUAAUACGUAGGGUCCGAGCGUUGUCCGGAAUUACUGGGCGUAAAGAGCUCGUAGGUGGUUUGUCGCGUUGUUCGUGAAAACUCACAGCUCAACUGUGGGCGUGCGGGCGAUACGGGCAGACUGGAGUACUGCAGGGGAGACUGGAAUUCCUGGUGUAGCGGUGGAAUGCGCAGAUAUCAGGAGGAACACCGGUGGCGAAGGCGGGUCUCUGGGCAGUAACUGACGCUGAGGAGCGAAAGCGUGGGGAGCGAACAGGAUUAGAUACCCUGGUAGUCCACGCCGUAAACGGUGGGUACUAGGUGUGGGUUUCCUUCCUUGGGAUCCGUGCCGUAGCUAACGCAUUAAGUACCCCGCCUGGGGAGUACGGCCGCAAGGCUAAAACUCNAAGAAAUUGACGGGGGCCCGCACAAGCGGCGGAGCAUGUGGNUUAAUUCGAUGCCACCCGAAGAANCUUACCUGGGUUUGA
rnacentral:rRNA from 1 species